UCAACUGCGCAACUUUCUAGCGCAGGGGUUUUCAGUUGCUGACUCAGGCGCGGUUAUUCUAGCAGAUGAAUCAACAGGAGAACAGUGAAAACUCGUUGGCAUAUCAAAUGAUCUUGUUUUCAAAUCCGUAGUUUUUCCACCUCACUCGGUCAAAGUUAUAUACCAUAUUUGGGAUUUUUGAAAUCUUUGUUUUGAUUUCUAUUAUUACACAAGAACUGUGAAUUUCAAGAAUUCACACAAAACACGAAUCGUCAACUUGGAAAAGAGGCCUUGGCCCCAACGGUUUGUAUUAUCACAGGUUUCCCGCGCACUUGACCCAGGCCCUUUCAGACCAUUUAGCUAAACGAGAGGAAUGGGCUGACCUGAUUCUUCAGGCUAAUCGCCUGUCGGAGUAUCGAGUAAAUCGGACUCCAUAAAAACAAUCCAUACGCACCCUUUUUCGCAGGCAACGCCAUACACUUGGAGUGACAGAGAAAGAGUAUGGCGUUAAUGGUAAUUAAGACCGAGGGCCAAGCUUGACAAUCUUCCCUGACGCGUCAGUGCGCAUGAGAACACGGUGCCACCGCCUAGCUAUGAAGGACCAAUCCAUUUCAAACCAGGACCUCCAUCGGAUUGCCUCGUCAAACGCAAGUUUCAAGUACAGAGGAAGCUGACACGAUUUGAAGGCUUCAAGUACUGCACUCUUUUGAUGAGGCUGAAGGCAGCGACCCGCUUCCUGCAGCCAGCCUUCGAGGAUGACGUCAGCCUCGUGAAAUGAUAGCACUGGGACCUCCAUAAAGCACGUCUCCGGUACUCGUGCAAGGGUAACUCCCGCGAUCCGACAGAGUUGAGAGCAAAUGCUAUGAAGAAGCAACCGUGUACUGGAUGAGUCGGGGGAUGUCCCAAGGAAACGAUACACGACAGCACAAGACUCGGGAUCACUUGCCUGAAACCGAUACACGACAACAUUAGAUGCACGAUUUACGACAUUAAAUACACGACAAUAAAAGACAACCCUAGACUCGAGAUCAAAGACAAGCGACAAAAAGGCAAAAUUACAUUAAAGAUAAAAUAACACACUCACCUCGAGUGAUGACGUCAUCCACGAUCUCAUCACCAUAGCGACCUUGGCCAUGAUUGACGUUUUACCACACCCCGAUUCUCCAUGUAUAACCACAAUCCUUCGCGGGUUCUGAAUCCUUUCCCUAAUGGAGCCAAGAAAUUGUUUCCUCCCCUGAAAAGUCUUGCACUUCUUUUGACAAAACGUCCCUUGGUCAAAUAACUCUUUCGCAAGGGAGUCUCUCUCAAUGGUUUUCUCCUUUUCGGCUAUCGAUAGAUAAGAAAAUAUAGUUUAUAAUAGUAAUGGGCGAUACUAGGUGAUAUCAGAAUGACAUUCGUUGUAUCAUAUUUAUCAGCACAUGUAGUGAUAGGAAAUUUUAACGAAUAGGAUUUCAGUAUUUUCGCUGGCAUUAAAUCUUAAAUAUAUUUUAUUCAUAAGGAUUUAAUACAAUAAACAAAAUAUUACAUGGCCACUAGCGAAUAGGCAGAUAAUAUCUAUCACUCGUUUGCUCACAGGCUUCCCACCCGCGUCAGUGAAGGAUUUCUAAGGACAUACAAAUUCACGCGAAUAAUUAUCUAUGAGUUAUAUCUUCAUUCUCUUAUUCAUGAAAUAAACUUAGUUGGGAUGUAAAUG